rnacentral:lncRNA from 1 species
GCCUCAGCCUAAACAAUUUUGUCAUCGUCGAGUAAGUUAUAGCUAAGCUACACAAGAUGGCAUUUGCUGGAUUGGACAGAUACGGUGAUCGUCUAGUAUAAUUUAUUAGAUUAGCGAUAAGUUUUCUUUCUCAGUCUGAUUUCUUUUUAUCUCAACAGCCAACCCACUUCAAGCCGAUCAACUUCAAAUAGCAAGAUCCUACAUUCUUCGACCAUGGCGACCUA